UUGGCAGUUCCAAUGUAUUUGUGGCCCAUUCCCUGAAUUCUCCUGAUUUCUGGUCUCACACACGCACACACUACAGCCGCGGGCGAUCGCAAUUUAACUCUGUCACAGUUCACUUCGGACAAAGAGAUUCCUCGAGACUUGAAUAGCAAGAAUCCGAAAGGGACUCGCGAACGCAAUGAAAACGUGUCAAGAAAAACGUUAGACCUCUUUUUCUUCUCUAUCUCUCUAUUAUGGUUAGACAAAAGAAAUUAGGAAUGGUCAGACCACGAUAUUUUUCACGAACAAGGUGACAUCACCACGAUUCAACUCCAAACACAAUCGACUCUCUACUUCACUUGAAAUCACGCGUAAAUUAAGACACUUGUCGAAUUUGAAACGACGACGAUGGACGACGAACAUACACUCACCGGCAAUUAAUUCGAUGAUCAUCACUCGAAUUUCAAACAGUCAAGUGUCCUCGAGACGGUUCGAUUCUCGAAUCGUAGUUCGUCGAUUCGACACGAGUAAUCUCCAAUCGCUGCAUCGAUGAUCGCGUACGUUCGAUCUGUUUGGCAGAAAAAAACUAUUGCUUGACGUUCGUAAAUCUACGAGUCGAAUCGAUACGCGACAAAGUUCCGACAACACUCCACGGCACGCAUUACUUCGAAUGUUACCUCUUGAAUUUUUGUACGGAUUCAAAUGUUUCUCGAUCAACGGCACAAUGCGACAACGCACGAAAAUCGUGUCUCAUGCUGCGUCAUGCGAUAGCACGCGACGUAUGUAACUAUCACUCAUGUCGUAAACUUUAGUCUGUCGUUUGAAAAUUUUACUUGCGAUACGAUGCGGUUAAUGGUGGUCAAGAGAGGGAAAGAAGAGGAAAAGAGAGAAAACUACGCGAAAACGUGUCGUGUCGAUGAGGCGCGAAGUUAAACGCAGCAGGUGCAAAGGGAGAGAAGUAAGCCGAAGUUGCGCGCGCAUCUACACAGUACGACACGGCUCGCGGCUCGCGAGAAACUGCCGGCUGCACGUUAACGCGAUACCCGACCGCCCCUUUCAAGCCGAGGAUCUGGCGCAGGAAUUUGUGGAACGCGAGAAAGAGGUUAGGAUGCAAUUGGAUACCUGAAAGAUUAUAUUAUACGUGGCUACGAGGGACGAGACGCUAUCGAUACAGAACACGAUACCAUGCUACAAAAAGAAGAAUUCUGACAAUUUAACUUCGAAGAAAAGAAUGAUUCACGCUGUCUUCCUUGGUAAACGAAAACCGUGGAAAAUGCAAAUUCGAAGAAAUGCUGGAAAUAGGAUCUAGUUGCCAAGCUGUUUCUUAUUACGACUACAAAAUGAGAAUAAUUUGUUCUUCGCAGCCGGUUCUUUUCUCAACUCUUCGGACAACUGGACUUUGAGUACACGUCGCUAAAUAAAUGAGACCGUGUAAUUUUCUUCCUGACUUUUCAUUCGAACCACAAAUUAAAAAUUCCACUUUAUAUUGUUUGUUGUUAUUCGAUAAAGUUCGAAGAAAGACAUACUCAUGUUGUAUCGUACUUUGAUAAAAAAUAUUUUUUUGUUAAAAAUUAGAAGACAAUCUGAGUUAAAGUAUUUAUAAUUAAUUGAUAAAAGAUAAAAUAUA